UUAUUUUUAUUAAUUAUUAUACAAUUCGUAUUUAUAUAAUUGGAAUACCAUUAGUUUAUCUAAUUAUGGGAUAUUUAGUGAUUGUUGCAGACUUGAUGUCUAUAUCAUUCUUUCCAAGAAAAAAGAAUUGUAUGGAUAAGAUAUGCAAAAGCUCGUCAAUAUAUCAUGCAUUCACUUGAAGCAUCAGAAAGAAACUGAACGCCUUUUGAAAGUUACGAAUCCUUGACCUAAUAUUCUGGAUAAAAAGAUUAUCUUCAAAUAAUUUUAUGCAACCAAUCCAAGCGCACAUCUAACUAAGCAAAGGGGUGAAUCCAAUCCUGUUCUCUAACCUUCCUUUGCGAUGACCUUAGCCAACCGCUCAUCAUUCCACCAAGCACAUAUUGCUCGGCUGAUUUGCAUAAGACCGGAAUGCUGAAGAUGAAACCACAUUCCUCGUGCCACUUAAUAGCAAUGAAAGAAUGUCUAAUCGUUCUAUUCGGUAGACGUCUUUGAUCGUCUCGACUACUAUUUUGCGAGGCUUGGAAUUGUAUGAUAAUCGUACUGUUCAAAAUAGUGCUACUCAUCGCCAUAUUCAUUCUUUUCAUCGAUGAAAUCAAUUUCAAUUGAUGAACAAUCGUAGCACAUUAUUGCUAUUUUAUUCUGUUCAUAAAGACAUAAGAAUUUCUUCUCUGAUGGAUGCUAAAGGGUUAAUAGUUGAUGAUUGUUCAACGAAGAAAAUGUUCUUUCACGCGAGGUCAGAGAAGAAAAGGGGGCAGUAAAGAUCAAGGAGCCCCAUUAAAUUCGAAGCAGAUGCAUAUAAAAGAAAUAUGUCCAUUUCAUAAAUUACAUGAUAAUAUAAACCGAAAUUACUGAUCCAACCUUAUGUAAUCGUGAUUUUGAUGGGCCAAAAUGUAAGUCUGAAAGAAGAUAAAUUCCAAAGAGGAAUUCUUGAAUUCUUUUGCUAUAAUCAACCUUCUUUUAUGAACAUUCAAAUAUUGAUGGAUUUUUGAAUGGAUAUUAAACUGAUAAAACGAAUAUAAAAAAUAG